rnacentral:rRNA from 1 species
GGCUCAGGAUGAACGCUAGCGGCGCGCCUAAUGCAUGCAAGUCGAGCGAUGAGGCCCUCUUCGGAGGGUACAUCAGCGGCAGACGGGUGAGUAACACGUAGGUGACCUGCCCUAAAGAUGGGGACAACGGAUGGAAACAUGCGCUAAUACCCAAUGGACCUGUACUGUCGAAGGUAUAGGUAAAGCUUCGGCGCUUUAGGAGGGGCCUGCGGCCCAUCAGCUAGUUGGUAGGGUAACGGCCUACCAAGGCAAAGACGGGUAGGGGGUGUGAGAGCAUGACCCCCCACAAUGGGACUGAGACACGGCCCAUACUCCUACGGGAGGCAGCAGCAGGGAAUAUUGCACAAUGGACGGAAGUCUGAUGCAGCGACGCCGCGUGGAUGAUGAAGGCCCUCGGGUCGUAAAAUCCUUUUCAGGGGGAAGAGGAAGGACGGUACCCCUGGAAUAAGCGUCGGCUAACUACGUGCCAGCAGCCGCGGUAAGACGUAGGACGCAAGCGUUAUCCGGAUUUACUGGGCGUAAAGCGUCUGUAGGCGGUUGGGUAAGUUGGGCGUGAAAGCUCCGUGCUCAACGCGGAGAGGUCGUUCAAUACUGCCGAACUAGAGGACAUCAGAGGAGCAUGGAAUUUCCGGUGUAGCGGUAAAAUGCGCAGAUAUCGGAAGGAACACCAGUGGCGAAGGCGGUGCUCUGGGGUGUGCCUGACGCUGAGAGACGAAAGCUAGGGGAGCGAACAGGAUUAGAGACCCUGGUAGUCCUAGCCCUAAACGAUGGAUGCUAGAUGUGGGGCCGAGAAGGCUCCGUGUCGCAGUUAACGCGCUAAGCAUCCCGCCUGGGGAUUACGGCCGCAAGGCUAAAACUCAAACGAAUUGACGGGGCCCCGCACAAGCAGCGGAGCGUGUGGUUUAAUUCGAUGCUACACGAAGAACCUUACCUGGGUUUGACAUGUAAGUGGUAGUGAAGCGAAAGCGGAGCGACCCUUCGGGGAGCUUACACAGGUGCUGCAUGGCUGUCGUCAGCUCGUGCCGUGAGGUGUCGGGUUAAGUCCCGUAACGAGCGCAACCCUUGCCCUUAGUUACAAGUGUCUAAGGGGACUGCCGGCGGUAAGCCGGAGGAAGGUGGGGAUGACGUCAAGUCAGCAUGGCCCUUAUAUCCAGGGCUACACACACGCUACAAUGGUCAGUACAAAGGGCAGCGAAGCCGCGAGGUGAAGCGAAUCCCACCAAAACUGAUCUAAGUUCGGAUUGCAGGCUGCAACUCGCCUGCAUGAAGCUGGAGUUGCUAGUAACCGCGCGUCAGCCAUAGUGCGGUGAAUACGUUCCCGGGGCUUGUACACACCGCCCGUCACGUCAUGGGAGUCGGUAACGCCUGAAGCUGGUAGUCUGGCCCUAANCGGGGGACGCCAUCUAAGGCGGGGCUGGCAACUGGGACGAAGUCGUA